GUCUAUAGCCAUAUCUCCCUGAAUACUCCAGAUCUUGUCUGAUCUUGGAAGCUAUGCAGGGUCUGGCAUGGUUAGUAUUUGAAAGAGAGAUAAGGAGCUCUGAUGUCCAAGAGA
ensembl:rRNA 5S_rRNA 5S ribosomal RNA